UACGUAGGGGGCGAGCGUUGUCCGGAAUCACUGGGCGUAAAGGGCGCGUAGGCGGUAAUAUAGGUCAGAUGUGAAAGGUGGGGGCUCAACCCCUAGAGUGCAACUGAUACUGUAUAACUUGAGUGUGAGAGAGGGAAGCGGAAUUCCUAGUGUAGCGGUGAAAUGCGUAGAUAUUAGGAGGAACACCAGUGGCGAAGGCGGCUUUCUGGCUCAUAACUGACGCUGAGGCGCGAAAGCGUGGGGAGCAAACAGG
rnacentral:rRNA from 1 species